UACGGGGGGGGCAAGCGUUAUUCGGAUUCACUGGGCGUAAAGGGUGCGCAGGCGGCCGGGUGUGUCAGAUGUGAAAUCCCGAGGCUUAACCUCGGAACUGCGUCUGAAACUACUCGGCUAGAGUAUUGGAGAGGGUAACGGAAUUCACGGUGUAGCAGUGAAAUGCGUAGAUAUCGUGAGGAACACCAGAGGCGAAGGCGGUUACCUGGACAAUUACUGACGCUCAGGCACGAAAGCAUGGGGAGCAAAAGGG
rnacentral:rRNA from 1 species